UAUAUAUAUAUAUAUAAGUCUUUAGACACUCAAUAUUGACACAUAGCAUCCUUGGACUUUCUACGUAUUUGGAAAUAUUUCGUAAGAAUGGCUAAACUAUUAUUGCUGUUAUUUCUUGUUGGGUUUUUGGCGAUUUCAAUUCUGCCUGAAGUUGCUGAAGCUCAAUAUGGUGAUUGUUAUUACGGAUACUGUCCAGGUGGCACUCGUUUCUGCGGGUACUGUAGCAGUUACCCUGUAAUAAGAAGAUGUUGUCCGCUGUACCCAUACUAGUACCAACGGAUUUCGUAAAGGACACUUAAACAACAAUUGACCAAUACCAGUGUUACCAACAAAAAGGCGUCAGCAAAGAACCUAGAUAAAAUAAGCAAUUCAUUUUAAAUCUACAACUUUCUUUAUUUUUUCUUAACGUUUUACCAUUAUCAUACAUAAAAAACACAAAUGAAAUGAAAUUUGGUAAUAAAUAUGAUACAAUUUGUUUUUUGUUAUUGUCUAGGAUAAAAAUCUACACGACUUUUUAGUCUUCAUCGAUUUGAACAAUUUUACAUUUGUGUGCAAGAGCAACUCUAUUAAUCUAACCAUCUUUUAUGAGAGAGCACAUACUUCGUAAAUGCAAGCCCACAUAACCAGAUUCACAUUUGAACAGGUAGAGGAGAGGAGUUGCCCACAGAGCACAAAAGCAUUCGAUCUGCAAUCAUACAACACGUUUUUCAAUCGACCAUGGCAAGGCAAGGCAUAACAACAACAUCUUUAUUCAAUUGAAUAAUUAAUAAUGGUUAAACAUUAACACCAAAGCAAAUCCCUUGUCAAUGAAAACUGGCAAUUUCAAAACCUGUGCAGGUAUCUUCUUGAGCUGUAGUGGUUAACUGUACAGAGCCUACAACCUCAAGCAUAAGUUGCAUAUGUCCAAGCUGUAUUUUAUUCGUCAAUAUAAAUAUUUUGCGUGCUUGCAAGUAUAGAGCAAUGCGAGCCUGAUGCACACUCGUUCCCACGUUCUAUACGGUUGCUAGCUCUACUUUGAAUCCAUUAAUUUUCAAAGGAACGUUUCAAAUCUUAAAUUCGAACAAAUACAUUAACAUUAGGUUAAGGGUUAAUAAUAUCUAGAUAAACAGUUGAUAUUGUAUUGUAAAGUUUACAAAUAUUCGAUUUCAUUUUUCCACUAAAAAGGAGAUGCAGACUACUCUUCUUGAUAAAGAUUGCUUUUACUUUUUGUUGAGGGUUUUUGUUUAAAUAAACACAAGAUGAGUUAAAGCAUUAGUAAAGUUUUGCUGCUGUGUUGUCUUUCUACCAUUAAAGAUGAGAAUAAGAAAGAUUAAAGCUUAAAUAAAUAUAGCCUGAACUUAAAGUAAUAUUAGUUCAUAAAGGUACAUUUAUAUGGAUUACAUUGGAAAUCACAUUUGUCCAUUUAAUCUAAUUGGUUAUGAAAUAACAAUCUUUCAUUCAUGCAAUUCAUUAGAGGUAACAGUAAUAUUAUUUUUUUGCAAAUACGCCAGCCUGUUAAGUAAAAUGAUUGCAUUAAUAAUAAUAAUAAAAACACAGACAUGGUAAUUAAGCAACUGACAUAUCAUCAAUAAAAAGAAAGUUAACAGUAAUACGUUUUGCAAAUUCGCCAACCUGGUAAUACACAUAGAAUAAAGAAAUCAUUUUAAGUAAAAUAUUUGCCUAAAUAAUAAUAAAUAAAAUACAGAUCUGGUAAUAAAGCAAUUAACAUAUCAUCAAUGAAACAAAUACAAAUCUCAACACUCUGGAGCAUUGACUUCUUUUGUUGUGUUGCUGGUUUGAGUUUAAAUGCAAACGACAUAUAACUUGUCACUUUAAUUGUUUAGCCUAAAGUGAGUAACUACAAGUUUUUAGAAUAAGGUAAAUAAAUAUCAGUUUAUUUCCUCUUAGUAGUUCCUUUAAAUUCAUAAAAAAUUAUUAACGAAAAAUACAUAAAUUGUUAUUUAAUAAUAAAACCCCCGAUAACCCACAAAAACUUCAAUAACUACAUCAUGACAAUACCAAAAAUUUAUGAACUGUGCCACCAGAAAAUAUACAAUAUGAGAACAUCACUGAACAGUUUAACUUUUAAUGAAGAUGAAUAUUUACAAAUAGACAAUAACAAUUAAAUCAAAUUUCAAAAUUAAAUGAAAUGUCUUUCACUUAUAUUCAUAUUAAAACGUUCUUGUCAGCAGUUUAAAAAAAUAUUUGUAAAAUAAUUAAAAACGGUAUCCCUUAAGAACACCCAAAACGACAAAAUUGAUAAUGUUGCAGGCUCGGUUUAUUUGAGCCUGUUCAUAACUUCAAAAAUUUUGUCCCGCUGGGGUACUUCUUCCAAUUAACCUUUAAACAACACCAAAAAUAAGAUUUCCUGAACUCAGCGUUUCAUCCUAGAUGAAAGUAGUGUAUAUUGACUGGUUCAUGUUUGGGUCAUCCAGCAAUUACGCGAAUUACGACAAUCAACGUCCAGCAAAGAAUCUUGCCUUAAAUAUCAUGACAAACAAAUAUUUACAGACAUUUUAAACCAGCUUCUAUAAAUAAACAUCACAGAUAGAUCCGGUGUGACAUUAAAUUUUGACCCUGUUAAAAUUGACCCAUGGGCCUGUUCAUGGACGGAGCUAUCAAGUGCAAACAACCGUCCAAGCCCGUAACACAGGCUUAAGCAGAUAUCAACAUUUUAACAUGAAAAUGGUUAAUUUUUGAAUUAAGAAACAUCUUCAGAUGUGUUCAAACGGCGGUUAUCAUGGAACCUUCAAUGCGACACUUUAGCGCCAUUCCAUAAGUUGUGUUUAAAAAUUCAUUCCUGGCCAAAAAAUAACCUAACAGUAUACAUAACACAACAAUAAACAAUGCAUAACACAAAAAUAAAUAAACAGUGAAGACAUAAUAAACUAAAUCUAAGAUUGAUAAGAAAAAAUGAAAAUACCAAUGUAUUCAAUGUUAACCACAACAAUAUUCAGAGUCUGGCUUUUAGUGUUACCAAUUAGGCGGAAAUAAGGUAUUAGCUGUUAAGCUGAGCCCGUCAUUCCCAUAAGAAUAUCUCGAUGCAAAUGUUUUUCAGUUAAAAAAAUAAAUACAAAUGAUUGGAACAACAACUAAUUAACACAACAUGACAUAAACUGUAAAUAAUAACAGCAUAAAAAGGCAUUCGAUUUGAGACUACGCCAUGCACUGGCGUCGCUAAAUAGGACAAUAAUUAAACAUUUGACUGAUUUAAUUAUUCCUUAAUAAAUCUUAAAUUAGAUCACCAAUAAACUUUAAAAGAUUAAAGAAAAAAAAGAGUGUAUUUCUUUCUUUUUGAUCAAUUGACUUGGACAUCUAAAAUAGUUGAGAGAAACAGAAUGUCUUAAGAAUGCCCAACACAACAAAAUUGAAAAUGUUGCAGCCAACCUGUUCAUGGAUCGUACUGGAAAGUGCAUCUUACCGUCUACGCUUAAGCAGAAUUCAACAUUUAAUCGUGGUAAUGGUGAAAUAUUUAAUUUAGAAACGUAAGUUACAUGCACUGAUGAAUAUUGCCGAUUAAUUUAUUCGUCUGCAUUUCAAAGCAUAUCAACGUCGGUGUUAUUUCGAACUGUAAACAUUUUUUUUUAAUUUUCAAAGAAUGCGAUGUUUCUUUAAAAAAUCCUCAAUUAUAAACGAUAAAAACAUUCUCGUGCUUACAGGUGUAUAUGACGUUAGUGCACAUUUUUUUGUUCCGCGGUUUUCUCUCGUCGUGCCUCAUAAUUAUCUUAAUUGUGUUUAAAGUAUAUAUUUAAAUUUGAUAUGCAUGUAUAUACAGUAAGUUUUUGUAUGGUUAACUAUUUAUUAAAUUAUGCAUAAUAAAUUAUAUAUUCAAAAAUCAUUGCCAUUAAUUAUUGUUUGAAACCUCUGUAGCCAGAUAAAUCAUCCAUUACUAAUUUUAGGAGAGAAAGGAUUCGUAGAAAAUUUUUGAAAGAUGAAUGAUAAACAUUAUUAUUAAUAUCAGCCAAGUAUAGUGUAUAUAAGUCUUGAUGGGUCUAAUUUUGAUACAUAUCAUCUUGGGGUUUCUAUUUCUACGUUGUUGAAAAGCACUUUGCCGGAAUGACUAAAUUACUGCUUUUAAUAUUUUGGUAGGAGUUUUGGCGGUGUCAAUUUUGCCGGAAAUAGCUGAAGCUCAAAAUAGCUGUUAUGUCGGUUACUGCCGACCUGGUACUUAUUACUGCGGGAUAUGUGGUGGAUAUCCUGUAAGACUCAGAUGUUGCAGGUGGCCAUUUCAAUACUAGGACUAAAGGACUUCAACAAGACAUCUAAACAACAAUUGACCAAUACCAGUGUUACCAAAACAAGAUUGUCAGCAAAGAACCAAGAUAAAAUAAGCAAUUUGUUAUCAAUUUAGUAUUUUCUAUUUCUCUUCUUUACACUCUGUAUUUCCUUCAUGCAUAAAAGUCAUCAAUUAUAUUAAAUUUGAAAAUAAAAAAAUACAUUU